AGGUGAACCUGCGGAAGGAUCAUUACUGAAAUGACCUAAGAUCUAAGGAACAGUUGGAACCCAGGUUGGAAUGGAAUCGCGAAAUCACCCCUUUUGUGCACGUAUCGAACGUACGCUUUUGGGAGGAUGUGAUCGUCCGUCCGGUCCGACGGUGUCGCUCCGACGAGCGAAGCCCCGGGGGUCGUACGAUCGGGGGCCCCGUUAGGGGCUCGGCCUCCCAGAGCCUUUUUUUUUUUCUUCUUGUCCUACAAGCUCGUCUCAACCUUGUCUGAAGCAGUUUUUGUCCCGGAAACGGGAAAAUAAAACCGAUAGUCAAUAAUAACAACUUUCAACAACGGAUCUCUUGGUUCUCG
rnacentral:misc_RNA from 1 species